GUAAAUAUAGUUUACCCAAAACACUAGACUGUGACUCUAGAGACAGAAGCCUCAACUUCUUAUUUACC
rnacentral:tRNA from 1 species